UACGAAGGGGCUAGCGUUGUUCGGAAUCACUGGGCGUAAAGCGCACGUAGGCGGAUCUUUAAGUCAGGGGUGAAAUCCCGAGGCUCAACCUCGGAACUGCCUUUGAUACUGGGGAUCUCGAGUCCGGGAGAGGUGAGUGGAACUGCGAGUGUAGAGGUGAAAUUCGUAGAUAUUCGCAAGAACACCAGUGGCGAAGGCGGCUCACUGGCCCGGAACUGACGCUGAGGUGCGAAAGCGUGGGGAGCAAACAGG
rnacentral:rRNA from 1 species